rnacentral:lncRNA from 1 species
GUUUAAACAUUCUACAGUCUGAGACCAACACGCAUAUGGGGUGGCUGCUGCCAGUGAUCUUCUUACUAUAAACAAAACUUCAAAGGCUGGAAGCAUCUUGCCAAAUGUGCCUACCACUUAUCAGAGCCAUUCAGAACGGUCUGCAAAAGCACUUUGGAGAAAUGAUGGAGGAGCCACAGCUUAUUGCUGCUCUAAUCUUUCUGUCAAAGUUCAAGACGUCUUGGACUGACAAAGCUGAUGUCAUCACAACCGGUUUGGCGUACCUGAAGAAUCAUCUUGACACAAUCACACAGGACGAGACAGCAUCUCAGUGUUCGAUAGGUAGUUCCACCAAAAAUAUGCCUUUUUGAACAUUCCUUUGAACAUUUGUAUAUGUGAUCCAGCUGUGCUGGACCUUAACUUGUUGGUUAAUAUCUGGUGUUUUAUGGAACAUUUAGCCUGUCAAGCAUUACAUGUAAACAAUAUUACAUAUACAGUAGUAUAUAGAAAAUAUACAUUUUUAAUAUUAAUUUGUUUGUGAAGCUUGCAUUGCCACAUCCUUUUCACAUGAACUUCUGUUCUUGUAAAAGGUGAAUAAAAAUAACUAUCAAAAUUGACAUAGCAAAUUGUUUUAAAGUCAUUUAGUAACUUUUACUCUGAGUACUUUUUGAAUAUGCUACUUUUUACUUUUACUUGAUUACAAUUUCAUUAAAGUAACAAUACCUCUACUUGAGUAGGAUUUUACAGUACUCUUUCAACCCCGGAUUAAAACGUUUGUCAAGUGCCUGCAAACCCUCAGGAGUCCACUUUAUCUUGUCCUUCAUCUCCAUCUUGUGGCCAUAGAGGAAGAUAGAAAAAAAGAGGGAACAUGGAAGGAAAGAGAGGCAGAUCUAGCCACAUGUCUUUAAGUGGUGGGGGUAACCAACAGGCUCAGACAAAGAGAGUGUCACUCACUUAACUCCUGUAGAGAAGACAGGAACAGACAGGCAGCCACGAGAGGAGUGAGGUUCUAAACCCAGAGGUCCAACAUUGCUAUAUUUCGGGGAACGCUUCGCAAAGCAGACUUGACAGUCCAG